CAAAGGAAUUGACGGGGACCCGCACAAGCGGUGGAGCAUGUGGUUUAAUUCGAAGCAACGCGAAGAACCUUACCAAAUCUUGACAUCCUUUGACAACUCUAGAGAUAGAGCCUUCCCCUUCGGGGGACAAAGUGACAGGUGGUGCAUGGUUGUCGUCAGCUCGUGUCGUGAGAUGUUGGGUUAAGUCCCGCAACGAGCGCAACCCUUAAGCUUAGUUGCCAUCAUUAAGUUGGGCACUCUAAGUUGACUGCCGGUGACAAACCGGAGGAAGGUGGGGAUGACGUCAAAUCAUCAUGCCCCUUAUGAUUUGGGCUACACACGUGCUACAAUGGACAAUACAAAGGGCAGCGAAACCGCGAGGUCAAGCAAAUCCCAUAAAGUUGUUCUCAGUUCGGAUUGUAGUCUGCAACUCGACUACAUGAAGCUGGAAUCGCUAGUAAUCGUAGAUCAGCAUGCUACGGUGAAUACGUUCCCGGGUCUUGUACACACCGCCCGUCACACCACGAGAGUUUGUAACACCCGAAGCCGGUGGAGUAACCUUUUAGGAGCUAGCCGUCGAAGGUGGGACAAAUGAUUGGGGUGAAGUCGUAACAAGGUAGCCGUAUCGGAAGGUGCGGCUGGAUCACCUCCUUU
rnacentral:rRNA from 1 species